GGUCGCAGGGAGUUUGGUCACCACACCAGAUGAAGCAGGUCAGCCCGUCGUACCGCGGGCGCACACGCUACACUAUUCCAGCUGUUCGGCUCAGAUUCGGGGUGUGAAGCUGGGCAAUGCGGGCCGGUGUCACUUCAGGUUUGAGACAAACCGACCGCUGGGGAGAUGGACCUCACCUGACACCAUUACUCUGGAUGUAGCAGCUCGACUCUCCUGUCUAAACAUCAACGACUCUGGAAGCGGACAGCGAGGUUUCUGGUGCCUGGCUGGAGACGAGAUUCUGAUUCUUCAAGUGCCA